CCUACGGGUGGCUGCAGUGGGGAAUAUUGGACAAUGGGGGGAACCCUGAUCCAGCCAUGUCGCGUGUGUGAAGAAGGCCCUCGGGUUGUAAAGCACUUUCAGUGAGGAAGAACGCCUGGUGGUUAAUACCCAUCAGGAAAGACAUCACUCACAGAAGAAGCACCGGCUAACUCCGUGCCAGCAGCCGCGGUAAUACGGAGGGUGCGAGCGUUAAUCGGAAUUACUGGGCGUAAAGCGCGCGUAGGUGGCUUGAUAAGCCGGUUGUGAAAGCCCCGGGCUCAACCUGGGAACGGCAUCCGGAACUGUCAAGCUAGAGUGCAGGAGAGGAAGGUAGAAUUCCCGGUGUAGCGGUGAAAUGCGUAGAGAUCGGGAGGAAUACCAGUGGCGAAGGCGGCCUUCUGGACUGACACUGACACUGAGGUGCGAAAGCGUGGGUAGCAAACAGGAUUAGAUACCCUGGUAGUC
rnacentral:rRNA from 1 species